GAAAAAAACAAAAUUAAAAAUAAAUAUAAAAAAAAGCGCUCCCUGCGACUUUCAAAUGUUGAAUUCAACAAAACAGAGACCAUAAAUGGUAGCUUUUCGAUAGUUCUAAAAUUCCAAAACGAGAAAUCAUAAAUCAUGAAAGGCAUGACAAUAACCCAAAAAAAAUAACUGAAUUGAGCCCUAAAUACUUGAUACUGUAGCUGGCAAAGAAAUUAACGUAUGCAAUUGAAAAACCCUAGACAGAUCAAAUUAGAAGAAGAAGAAGAAG
rnacentral:misc_RNA from 1 species